GGACCUUUACGUUGCAUGAGGGGGGAGCUACCAACGAACCAUGUUGGUCCAUUCAUUAUUUAUUUGCCUUCAUUAACAUAUAUAUUAAUUCUACAUGGAUUUUUCCAUUUUUGACACAACAGCACCAUGCAUGUUACAGCUUUCUCUCUUACAGCAAACUGGGGAUUUGAUUCUUCUAGCUUGCUCACUGUAUGUGUGUUGUUCUUAUUCAGGCUAUGAGUGCUUUAUGGUUGCUUCUUUUUUCCCUACCCGUGAAUCUUCUUGCUUCUGCCUUGCCUUGUG
rnacentral:lncRNA from 1 species